GACGAACGCUGGCGGCGUGCUUAACACAUGCAAGUCGAACGAAGUGGCGAACGGGUGAGUAACGCGUAAUCAACCUGCCCUUCAGAGGGGGACAACAGUUGGAAACGACUGCUAAUACCGCAUACUGAAGGAGGGGAUUGCGUCGGAUUAGCUAGUUGGAGGGGUAACGGCCCACCAAGGCGAGGAUCAGUAGCCUGUCGUGGGGGGUGAACGGGCACGAUGGGACUGGGACACGGCCCAGGCUCCGUCGGGAGGCAGCAGUGGGGAAUCUUCCGCAAUGGACGAAAGUCUGACGGAGCAACGCCGCGUGAGUGAUGACGGCCUUCGGGUUGUAAAGCUCUGUUAAUCGGGGCGCGGUACCGGAAUAGAAAGCCACGGCUAACUACGUGCCAGCCUCCGCGGUAAUUC
rnacentral:rRNA from 1 species